rnacentral:lncRNA from 1 species
CAAAAGCGCAUAGAUCAAUACAACACGCCAAGGCCAGCUAUCUGCCUGCUGCUUUGCUGCCUCAAGCAACAAAAAGCUCGGCCUGGCCGUCGAUGAACAGGCUCAUGAACUCCUCCCCAUCCACCGUCUCCUUCUCGAUCAGAAGCUGUGCGAGCUUGUGGAGGAUGUCGAUGUGCGUCGUGAUGAUCUGUGUUGCUCUCGAGUAGGCCCUCUCCACGAGUUCCCUCACCUCAGCAUCCACAAUGUCCGCUGUAGCCAUGGAGUAGUCCUUUUGGCUGGACAUCUGCGACACCAAUGUGAAAAUUUGUCAAAUUAUGACUUACUUAGUUCCUCUGAAUUAGCGAGAGAAAUACUGAGAAGCAAUGACUAAUCCAAGUGUUCCGUUAAAAAAUGUCUAAUCCAAGUGACAAACUUCCAGAUUAGGCACUAGGCAGGGAAACCAAAGUCUGGCAGCAGCCACACAGAAUGAGAUACCGUGCCUAUUCACACCUUUGCUAUGAACCAGAAGGCUGAUGAUGACAGACUUGGCAGUAUAGGAGUGGCGUGUUAUGGGACAGCAUUAGAAGAGUAAAAGUGACUCAAGCCAGGGUACAGUGGCCAUCAAGGAUGUAACUGGGCUUGUCAAUACAGAACAUAGAGAAAAAAUAUUUUCCUAGAGGCUGGUGGUGGUUUCAGGACACAAGCCGAAGAAGACAGCAAAGGUUGGGCAGAUGUGUUGUAAUUGUUGAGGUUUGUAUGCCAAUCGUUUCAUUUAGUUGCUACAGGCCCUCAUUCUAGACUAACAGGACUUUUCUUGGAAAGCCUAAUUCAAUUUUCCCUUUCAAUAAUAGUGGCAUACCUGCUGUCCCAAGAAAGGGUUUCCGCCAGGUCCCCCAAUAGCAACUUGUCCGAUCUUCUUACUGAAUCCAAAUCUUUCAACCAUUUGCCUUGCGACACGUGACACCUGCAUAAAGUCAUUGGAAGCUCCUGUCGUCACAUUUUCUUGGCCAAAGAUCACCUCUUCAGCAACCCUGCACACCAUGAUAGCUCAACUAGUUCAGCACUCUGCACAACAGCAGCAAUUAGUGGAUGCUAAAAUGAAGCAGACUUUUCAUAAAGACCGCACCUGCCACCAAGGGCUACAGCCAUUUGGUUCUCAAGAUAGCUUCUGCUGUACAAUCCAGACUCAAGCCGCUCUUCACUUGGAGCAAAGAAUGUGAGUCCACCAGCUUGUCCACGAGGAAUGAUGGAAAUCUUAGCAACCGGAUCAUAUUCGGGCAUGAGGGCACCGACAAGAGCAUGGCCAGCCUCUGCAAAUUCAGAAGUUCAGAAACAGAUUAGGAAUCCAUGUCUCCCAGAAUGGGUUCAACUUGAAGCUAUAAUUCAUGAAAUUUACCAUGGUAAGCCACAAGCUUCUUCUUCUCUUCAGAAACAACUGCAUUUUUCUUCUCGGGCCCAGCAAUGAUCCUCUCAAGAGCAUCUGAGAUCUCAUCCUUGCUUAUUUCCUUAAGAUCACGACGAGCAGCAAGAAUGGCAGCCUCGUUCAUCAAGUUUUGAAGAUCAGCUCCAGUGAAACCAGGGGUUCUUCUAGCAAUUUUCUCAAAGUCAACAUCUUUAGCCAAUGCUUUUCCUCGGGAGUGAACCUAUUAGAUGACAAUAUGCAAUAGGAUUAAUUAUCUCACAUGACCAAAUCAGGAUGAAGAAAGUGAGCUUGAGUCUGAACUAAGGUGAUGAACAAAUGCAAAUGGAAAGCCAACAAAUGUAAACAUCAGGCAACUAAGUUGUGGAAAAACAUUAGCUUAAGAUUUUAACCUGGCAUUAGUUAACUAUGUUGGGAUUGCAAGGCCCGAAAAGAAAAACUAGGCUAACGAAAUAAAUUCAACCUAGAAUGUCCCGACACUCUAUAACAUAACAUGGAACAUCGACAAUGCUACUUAAACAUGUUAUAAUCAAAGCGAAUGGCACUAACCAAGUUUUCUAACCAGUUCAUCAUAACUGCUAGUACUUCAGAAGUGUAUCUAUUAUCAGGAAAUCAAUUUAAGGGGCAGCCAACUGCCAGAUAUCUACUCCAUUACAUCUAAAAAGUUAGUUACAACCCAGCAUCUUAUAACACAUUACACCGUGAUAUGGAGCGCCUCCAAUGUCCAUGUUAACUAUAGCAAAAAAUAAAAUUUUUUUUCUGUGUUUGUCAUUUCCAAGCAAAAAAGUAGAACCUACAACAAUGUUACUUAACCAUGUUAUCAUCAAAGGCAUAAUCUACAAGUUUGCUGAUCACUUCAUCAGAAGUAGCUCAGAUGCAUAUUCGUUGCUAGCAAAGCAUAAUCGACAAGUCAAGAGCAGCAGUUGGCUCACCACUCACCUCAAGAAUCUUGACGCGCCCAGCAACAUCUGGCCUGUCAACAGUGACCUGCCGAUCAAACCUUCCUGGACGCAGAAGCGCAGAGUCCAGCACAUCAGGCCUGUUGGUCGCAGCGAGGACGAUGACACCACUGUUGCCGGCAAAGCCAUCCAUCUCAGUCAAGAGCUGGUUAAUGGUCUGCUCCCUCUCGUCGUUACCACCACCGAGCCCAGCACCACGCUGCCUCCCGACGGCAUCAAUCUCAUCGAUGAAGACAAUGCAGGGCGCCUUGGCCUUGGCCUUCUCGAAGAGGUCGCGCACCCUGGAUGCACCGACACCGACGAAGAGCUCGACGAACUCGGACGCGGCGCAGGAGAAGAAAGGCACGCCAGCCUCUCCGGCGACGGCACGCGCCAGGAGGGUUUUACCUGUCCCAGGCGGACCGACGAGGAGACAUCCCUUGGGGAUCUUGGCACCCAGAGCGGUGUACUUGUCUGGGUUCUUGAGGAAAUCGACGACUUCCUGCAGCUCGAGCUUGGCCUGAUCGGCCCCGGCGACGUCGACGAACGUGACGCCCGUCUCAGGCACCUCCUGGAACUUGCUCUUGGAGCGUCCAAAGUCCAUGGGCCCGCCGAGCCCGCCAGGGCCCGCGCCCGGCCCGCCCUGCGCGCGGCGGAAGAGGAAGAAGAGCCCCGCGAACGCGAGGAAGGGGAAGAGGAGGUUGCCGACGAAGGCGAUGAAUCCCCCGGGUCCCGCAGCCUCGCCCUCGGAGACGGAGAUGUCGACGCCGUUGGUGGCGAGGAUGUCGAUGAGGUCAGGGUCGUUGGGGACGACGACGGUGGCGCGGCGGCCGUCGACGGCGGUGAGCUGGAGGAGCCCGCCGUCCUUGGAGAAGCGGACGCGCUCGACCUUGCCGCGCUUGACGGCGGAGAGGAACUCGCUGUAGCGCCACUGCGCGCCCUCGGGGAGGUCGGCGGCGGCGGAGGGUUUGGGGGCCGUGAGGAGGGAGUUGGCGAAGGGGUUGGCGGUGGGAGUGGUGGCCUCGGCCUGGAGCUCGGGUGCGGGCGCGGGGGCCGGGGCCGGGGGAGGCGCCGGCGCGUCAGCGGCGAGAGCGGGCGCCGCGGCGAGCGCGAGGAGCGUCGCCGGGAGGGGCCUGGCGAGAGGGAGACGCGGCGGGCGGAGGGAGGAAGGCUUGGGCUUGGGGAGGGAGGCGGUGAUGAGGAGGUGGGAGGUGGACACCGAGGGCGGCGCCAUGGCUGCUGAUGGGGUGGGUGAGUCGAGGC